AUUGAACGCUGGCGGCAUGCCUAACACAUGCAAGUCGAACGGCAGCACGGCAGUAGCAAUACUGUGGGUGGCGAGUGGCGGACGGGUGAGGAAUACGUCGGAAUCUGCCCAGUCGUGGGGGAUAACUAGCCGAAAGGUUAGCUAAUACCGCAUACGACCGAGAGGUGAAAGCGGGGGACCGCAAGGCCUCGCGCGAUUGGAUGAGCCGACGUCGGAUUAGCUAGUUGGUGGGGUAAAGGCCCACCAAGGCGACGAUCCGUAGCUGGUCUGAGAGGAUGAUCAGCCACACUGGAACUGAGACACGGUCCAGACUCCUGCGGGAGGCAGCAGUGGGGAAUAUUGGACAAUGGGCGCAAGCCUGAUCCAGCAAUGCCGCGUGUGUGAAGAAGGCCUUCGGGUUGUAAAGCACUUUUAUCAGGAACGAAAAGCGUUGGAUUAAUACUCUGACGUGCUGACGGUACCUGAGGAAUAAGCACCGGCUAACUUCGUG
rnacentral:rRNA from 1 species